rnacentral:rRNA from 1 species
AGCGGCGGACGGGUGAGUAACGCGUGGGCAACCUACCUCAUACAGGGGGAUAACAGUUAGAAAUGACUGCUAAUACCGCAUAAGACCGCGGUACCGCAUGGUACAGCGGUAAAAACUCCGGUGGUAUGAGAUGGGCCCGCGUCUGAUUAGCUAGUUGGUGAGGUAACGGCCCACCAAGGCGACGAUCAGUAGCCGACCUGAGAGGGUGACCGGCCACAUUGGGACUGAGACACGGCCCAAACUCCUACGGGAGGCAGCAG